UACGAAGGGGGCUAGCGUUGCUCGGAAUCACUGGGCGUAAAGCGCACGUAGGCGGAUUGCUAAGUCAGGGGUGAAGUCCUGGAGCUCAACUCCAGAACUGCCCUUGAUACUGGCGGUCUCGAGUCCGGGAGAGGUGAGUGGAACUGCGAGUGUAGAGGUGAAAUUCGUAGAUAUUCGCAAGAACACCAGUGGCGAAGGCGGCUCACUGGCCCGGUACUGACGCUGAGGUGCGAAAGCGUGGGGAGCAAACAGG
rnacentral:rRNA from 1 species